AUUGAACGCUGGCGGCAUGCCUAACACAUGCAAGUCGAACGCGAAAUCACCUUCGGGUGAAAGUAGAGUGGCGGACGGGUGAGUAACGCGUGGGAAUCUGCCUAGUAGUGGGGGGACAACUCGGGGAAACUCGAGCUAAUACCGCAUACGCCCUACGGGGGAAAGGCUUCGGCCGCUAUUAGAUGAGCCCGCGUCAGAUUAGCUUGUUGGUAGGGUAAUGGCCUACCAAGGCGACGAUCUGUAGCUGGUCUGAGAGGACGAACAGCCACACUGGGACUGAGACACGGCCCAG
rnacentral:rRNA from 1 species